rnacentral:rRNA from 1 species
AUUGAGCGCUGGCGGCAGGCCUAACACAUGCAAGUCGAACGGUAGCACAGAGAGCUUGCUCUCGGGUGACGAGUGGCGGACGGGUGAGUAACGUCUGGGAAACUGCCCGAUGGAGGGGGAUAACUACUGGAAACGGUAGCUAAUACCGCAUAACGUCGCAAGACCAAAGUGGGGGACCCUCGGGCCUCACACCAUCGGAUGUGCCCAGAUGGGAUUAGCUAGUAGGUGGGGUAAUGACUCACCUAGGCGACGAUCCCUAGCUGGUCUGGGAGGAUGAGCAGCCACACUGGAACUGAGACACGGUCCAGACUCCUACGGGAGGCAGCAGUGGGGAAUAUUGCAGAAUGGGCGCAAGCCUGAUGCAGCCAUGCCGCGUGUAUGAAGAAGGCCUUCGGGUUGUAAAGUACUUUCAGCGGGGAGGAAGGCGGUGAAGUUAAUAACUUCACCGAUUGACGUUACCCGCAGAAGAAGCACCGGCUAACUCCGUGCCAGCCGCCGCUGUAA